UUGAAGAGUUUGAUCAUGGCUCAGAUUGAACGCUGGCGGCAGGCCUAACACAUGCAAGUCGAACGGUAACAGGAAGCAGCUUGCUGCUUCGCUGACGAGUGGCGGACGGGUGAGUAAUGUCUGGGAAACUGCCUGAUGGAGGGGGAUAACUACUGGAAACGGUAGCUAAUACCGCAUAACGUCGCAAGACCAAAGAGGGGGACCUUCGGGCCUCUUGCCAUCGGAUGUGCCCAGAUGGGAUUAGCUUGUUGGUGGGGUAACGGCUCACCAAGGCGACGAUCCCUAGCUGGUCUGAGAGGAUGACCAGCCACACUGGAACUGAGACACGGUCCAGACUCCUACGGGAGGCAGCAGUGGGGAAUAUUGCACAAUGGGCGCAAGCCUGAUGCAGCCAUGCCGCGUGUAUGAAGAAGGCCUUCGGGUUGUAAAGUACUUUCAGCGGGGAGGAAGGGAGUAAAGUUAAUACCUUUACUCAUUGACGUUACCCGCAGAAGAAGCACCGGCUAACUCCGUGCCAGCAGCCGCGGUAAUACGGAGGGUGCAAGCGUUAAUCGGAAUUACUGGGCGUAAAGCGCACGCAGGCGGUUUGUUAAGUCAGAUGUGAAAUCCCCGGGCUCAACCUGGGAACUGCAUCUGAUACUGGCAAGCUUGAGUCUCGUAGAGGGGGGUAGAAUUCCGGUGUAGCGGUGAAAUGCGUAGAGAUCUGGAGGAAUACCGGUGGCGAAGGCGGCCCCCUGGACGAAGACUGACGCUCAGGUGCGAAAGCGUGGGGAGCAAACAGGAUUAGAUACCCUGGUAGUCCACGCCGUAAACGAUGUCGACUUGGAGGUUGUGCCCUUGAGGCGUGGCUUCCGGAGCUAACGCGUUAAGUCGACCGCCUGGGGAGUACGGCCGCAAGGUUAAAACUCAAAUGAAUUGACGGGGGCCCGCACAAGCGGUGGAGCAUGUGGUUUAAUUCGAUGCAACGCGAAGAACCUUACCUGGUCUUGACAUCCACGGAAGUUUUCAGAGAUGAGAAUGUGCCUUCGGGAACCGUGAGACAGGUGCUGCAUGGCUGUCGUCAGCUCGUGUUGUGAAAUGUUGGGUUAAGUCCCGCAACGAGCGCAACCCUUAUCCUUUGUUGCCAGCGGUCCGGCCGGGAACUCAAAGGAGACUGCCAGUGAUAAACUGGAGGAAGGUGGGGAUGACGUCAAGUCAUCAUGGCCCUUACGACCAGGGCUACACACGUGCUACAAUGGCGCAUACAAAGAGAAGCGACCUCGCGAGAGCAAGCGGACCUCAUAAAGUGCGUCGUAGUCCGGAUUGGAGUCUGCAACUCGACUCCAUGAAGUCGGAAUCGCUAGUAAUCGUGGAUCAGAAUGCCACGGUGAAUACGUUCCCGGGCCUUGUACACACCGCCCGUCACACCAUGGGAGUGGGUUGCAAAAGAAGUAGGUAGCUUAACCUUCGGGAGGGCGCUUACCACUUUGUGAUUCAUGACUGGGGUGAAGUCGUAACAAGGUAACCGUAGGGGAACCUGCGGUUGGAUCACCUCCUU
rnacentral:rRNA from 1 species